AGAGUUUGAUCCUGGCUCAGGAUGAACGCUGGCGGCGUGCUUAACACAUGCAAGUCGAACGGGAAACCUUUUAUUGAAGCUUCGGCAGAUCUAGCUGGUUUCUAGUGGCGGACGGGUGAGUAACGCGUAUCCAACCUGCCCACCACUUGGGAUAACCUUGCGAAAGUAAGACUAAUACCCAAUGAUAUCCCACGAAGGCAUCCGAAUGGGAUUAAAGAUUUAUCGGUGAUGGAUGGGGAUGCGUCUGAUUAGCUUGUUGGCGGGGUAACGGCCCACCAAGGCAACGAUCAGUAGGGGUUCUGAGAGGAAGGUCCCCCACAUUGGAACUGAGACGCGGUCCAAACUCCUACGGGAGGCAGCAGUGAGGAAUAUUGGUCAAUGGGCGAGAGCCUGAACCAGCCAAGUAGCGUGCAGGAUGACGGCCCUAUGGGUUGUAAACUGCUUUUAUAAGAGAAUAAAGUGAGUCUCGUGAGACUUUUUGCAUGUACCUUAUGAAUAAGGACCGGCUAAUUCCGUGCCAGCAGCCGCGGUAAUACGGAAGGUCCGGGCGUUAUCCGGAUUUAUUGGGUUUAAAGGGAGCGUAGGCCGGAGAUUAAGCGUGCUGUGAAAUGUAGUGGCUCAACCUCUGCACUGCAGCGCGAACUGGUCUUCUUGAGUACGCACAACGUGGGCGGAAUUCGUGGUGUAGCGGUGAAAUGCUUAGAUAUCACGAAGAACUCCGAUUGCGAAGGCAGCUCACGGGGGCGCAACUGACGCUGAAGCUCGAAAGUGCGGGUAUCGAACAGGAUUAGAUACCCUGGUAGUCCGCACGGUAAACGAUGGAUGCCCGCUGUUGGCCUGAAUAGGUCAGCGGCCAAGCGAAAGCAUUAAGCAUCCCACCUGGGGAGUACGCCGGCAACGGUGAAACUCAAAGGAAUUGACGGGGGCCCGCACAAGCGGAGGAACAUGUGGUUUAAUUCGAUGAUACGCGAGGAACCUUACCCGGGCUUGAAUUGCAGAGGAAGGAUUUGGAGACAAUGACGCCCUUCGGGGUCUCUGUGAAGGUGCUGCAUGGUUGUCGUCAGCUCGUGUCGUGAGAUGUUGGGUUAAGUCCCGCAACGAGCGCAACCCCUAUCCCCAGUAGCCAGCAUUUCGGAUGGGCACUCUGAGGAGACUGCCAGGGAUAACCUGGAGGAAGGCGGGGAUGACGUCAAAUCAUCAUGCCCCUUAUGAUUUGGGCUACACACGUGCUACAAUGGCGUAAACAAAGGGAAGCGAGCCUGCGAAGGUAAGCAAAUCCCAAAAAUAACGUCCCAGUUCGGACUGCAGUCUGCAACUCGACUGCACGAAGCUGGAAUCGCUAGUAAUCGCGGAUCAGAAUGCCGCGGUGAAUACGUUCCCGGGUCUUGCACGCACCGCCCGUCAAG
rnacentral:rRNA from 1 species